GUUCGGUUAAAUAUGUUUUGAAAGGUUGUAAUAUUUACGACUGUUGUCAGAAUUUGAUUUUAAAACUCGUAUAAAAAAAAAUAUGACAUAACAUUCAGUUUAUUUUUUUAUUUUUUUUUUACCAUUAUGCAUGACUCAUAAUUAUUUACGCCGUAAAUAUUUGCCAUUUUACCAACAACUUUCUUUAAAAGAAGAAGCACGCAUCAUAGAAAAACCAAUAGAUCUAUCGC